UGCGCCUUGCCAGCCCGCUCAGUCAGAGUUUGAUCCUGGCUCAGAAUGAACGCUGGCGGCAGGCCUAACACAUGCAAGUCGAACGGAGUUAUAUUGUAGCUUGCGUGAGUAAUGUAUAGGAAUCUACCUAGUAGUACGGAAUAAUUGUUGGAAACGGCAACUAAUACCAUAUACGCCCUACGGGGAAAAAUUUAUUGCUAUUAGAUGAGCCUAUAUUAGAUUAGCUAGUUGGUGGAGUAAUAGCCUACCAAGGCAAUGAUCUAUAGCUGAUCUGAGAGGAUGAUCAGCCACACUGGAACUGAGAUACGGUCCAG
rnacentral:rRNA from 1 species